AUGACUAGGAUUAACUGUGGUGUCAUAUCUCUUAUCCCCAAAGUAGUUGGGGUUGCGGAUAUUCGGCAAUUCCGUCCCAUCACGGUGAUCAAUUUGUUGAAGCGAAUCUUUGCGAAGGUUUGCUCGACCCAUUUGUCCCCCGCGGCGGAAAGGAUUGCCCACCCCCUUCAAUCUGUGUUCCUGAAGGGCCGGCGGAUCCACGACGGGAUUCUUGCCCUUCACGAGAUUUUCCAUGAGGUGGCGUCGAAGGGGCUUAAGGGGGUCUUCCUCAAAUUGGACUUCCAGAAGGCGUAUGACCGUCUGGACUGGUCCUUUUGA
rnacentral:rRNA from 1 species